GGGUGAAUACAUAGAGAGUCCUGUGGUCUGUUCUCUGACAUGAAGAGGGAGGUGAAGACUCAGAGUGAAAGAGACCAGCUUGGAGAGGCAGGAGAGUUCCUGAUUUCCACUAGUGCCAUGACCACAUCAUGAAAAGCAGCUAGAAGAAGCUUGAGGAGUUCAGAAAAGAAGGACAAAACAUGGGUGGCAGUGGUGGUUCCUGGAAGGGAUGAUGGUUUAUGCUAUGUGAUUUGUCUGGCAUUUAGAUUUACUUUACCACAGUGUGCAACUAUUAACUGAUCUCACAAUUAUGAUUUUGACCAUUUCUCAUGUUGACUCUGUUGUCUCCUCAAACCAAUCUCACAUGGCAGGAAUCACCUCUAUGACAUGGGUGAGGAAACAGUGUCCACGCGGUGACCCACAGUCUUCUCACGAACGGGAAGAACCAAUCUCAGGGAUUGAAGAGGGGAGCUUCCUGAGGAGAGGCCGGUGAGCCAGCAGCUUCUGGAACACACAGCAUCCAUUCCCCAACCCCUUUGUUUCCACCCUCUACUCCAUCCUCCCAGGCCCUGCUCCACAGCCCACACUCCUGCUUUAAAGCCUUGAGAUGGAUUCCCACUUACAGAGAGCCAACCUGCAAAGGGGAUUAAGAUGGGAGCUCCAGAGCCAGCAGAGCAAAUCUGGCUUCCCUUUGGCCUCUGCAUCCAGCCCUGAGUGUAAGAACUGGGCAGACAGCUCAGCUGACCCACCUGUGCUUCCCCAGACAUUCCACACCCAGGUGGUGCCAAGUUAAGCUGGGGAGAAAGGAGAGGUAUUAGGAGAGAAUUAAGGUGAGGAAGUGACUCAGCCCAGCACUGGCCUGCAGGCAUCCAGGAUAAACACUCCAGAGACAGGGGCCCUGGGAGGCUCAGUUUGCAAGCUGACCUGGAAGAAUUGAUCCAUGGUUGAGCACAGGGGGUGGAAGGCAAGAGCUGGCCAGCCCCCUUGUCCUGCACCUGGACCCCAGAGCAUCUCUGUCAGACUAACAUGUGUGGGAUCCUCGGGUUUUAACUCAAAAGGGCCUCAUUCUUAUGAUUUGUUUCCCUUGUGGGGAGUGGAAUGAGGCUAGGGAGGUGACUCUAAGCAGGAGGUGACUUCAACCUUGGGAGAAGCUGCUCCUGCUGAAGACUGAGCAUCCAGUAGGUGGAUACAAAUCCCUUGAAGUUCAGAGAAAAAAAAAAGAGUAGCAGCUUUGGAAUCUGACAAUUCAAAUUCAAGUUGUCUUUAUUUGUUUGUUGUUUGUUUAAGUGGGGUUUCUCUGUGUAUCCCUGGCCCUCCUGGAACUUGCUCCUUAGAACAGGCUGGCCUCAAAUUCACAAACUGGCCUGCUUCUGCCUCCCAAAUUCUGGGAUUAAAGCAUGGGCCACCACAAUACUACCUUCUCAGAGACCAUUUCAUAAUUGAAUAAACCUUGGGAAGCAAAGUCAAUUUAA